rnacentral:misc_RNA from 1 species
AAAAUAUGUAACAUGGAGUUCAUGUCAUUUUUUUCUUUUUAUCUAAAUCUUUUUAUACAAUGCAAGACUGAACUCCAAUUUUCCUCCACACCUAGUUAUGAUUCGUCUUGUGCUGGUGGUGCUGGCACUCAACAGGGGCAACAGGGAACCUAGCGCUAUCCGUGCAAUAAUCGUAAACCAUAUGGUUCGCCCUGACCCAUAUCAGCUGGUGACUCUGGUGCAAAUUCAACUCGG